UGCAUCUUGGGAAGGAAAUGGUAAGGUCAGGUCAGCGUGCUGGGGACAGGCCCACUCCGAGCCACCCAGAAGGCAGGAACCCACCCAAGCUCUGCUCAGGGCAUUUUUUUUCCCCUCCACCCGGGACCAACUUUCUUUGCAAUUACUUUAUUCAUUUGAAAUGCAUGUCUAAAAAAAAAUUAAAUAGUGCAGGAGGGACCCCCCCACCUUAGCAGUGUGCGGCCCCCGAGUCUGAGUCUUCGUCCUCUGGGGUAACCCCUUCUAACUCCGUCAGCUGCUGCUUUUGGCAAGCUCCUCCAUAAUUCCGUAAUUUUCAGUAGUAUAUUUCAUACCAACGUGUAUGGAUUGAUCAACUUCAGACGUUACCUAUCAACUUCUUGUUUCACAUUCUAUACUUUCUAUCACUCAUAUUUUUAAAAAUAACUUUACCGAGAUAAAACUCACGUACCAUAGAAUCCACCUAUUUAAAGUGUACAAUUCAGUAAUUUUUAGUAUAUUCACAGAUGUGUGCAGCCAUUACCACAGUUGAUUUUAGAACAUUUUCAUCAUCUCAAAAAAAAAAAUCGCACACCCCUUAGCUGUCACCCCUGCUUCAUGCGUCCCCUUCCCUCCCAACCUCCCAGUCCUAAGCAACCAACUAGGUUACUUUCUGUUUCUGUAGAUUUGCCUGUUCUGGACGUGCCAAGUGGAUGGGAUCAUAUAAUAGGUGGUCUUUUGGGACUAGCCUCUUUCACUUAGCAUCGUAUUAAUGCCUCGCUGGAGCCCUGGUGGUGCAGUGGUUAAGAGCUCAGCUGCUAACCGAAAAAUCGGCAGUUUGAAUUCACCAGCCGCCCCUUGGAAACCCUAUGGGGCAGUUCUACUCUGUCCUAUAGGGUCGCUAUGAGUCGGAAUCGACUCGAUGGCAAUGGGUUUAACUUCUUGCCAGCGACCGACAGAAGGAAAUUGAAAGCUCUACUAUGACCACCUUUCUGCAGCUCUGACCAUGCAUCACACGCCUUAAUGAAGAGGAAGAUCAAUUCAAGAAAAUAUUCUGUCACUUGUAAACCCAUGUUCCUUGCAGCAUUACUCACAACAGCCAACAGGUGGAAGCAACUGAAAUGUCCAUCAACAGAUGAAUGGACAAACGAAAUGUGGUGUAUACACACAAUGGAAUCUUCCUGUUGUGGACUGAGUGUCCCCCCCCCCCAAAAUAUCUGUCAGCUUGGCUGGGCCAUGAUUCCCAGUACUGUGUGACUGUCCACCAUUUUGUCACCUGAGGUGAUUUUCCUAUGUAUUAUAAAUCCUAUUUCUAUGAUGUUGAUGAGAUGGGAUUAUCGGCAGAUAUGUUAAUAAGGCAAGACUCAAUCUGCAAGAUUGGGUUGUGUCUUGAGCCAAUCUCUUUUGAGAUACAAAAGAGAGAGGUGAGCAGAGAGACAUGGGGACCUCAUACCACUGAGAAACCAAUGCUGGGAGCAGAGCGUGUCCUUUGGACCCAAGGUUCCUGCACUGAGAAGCUCCUCGACCAGGAGAAGACUGAUGACAAGGACCUUCCUCCAGAGCCAACAGAGAGAGAAAGCCUUCCUCUGGAGCUGAUGCCCUGAGUCUAGACUUCUAGCCUACUAGACUGUGAGAGAAGAAACUUCUGUUUGAUAAAGCCAUCCACUUGUGGUAUUUCUGUUAUAGCAGUACUGGGUAACUUAGACUAUUAGUCACAAAGAGAAGUGAAGUCCUGAAACAUGCUACAAUAUGGGUGAACCUUGAAAACAUUAUGCUGAGUGAAGUAAGACAACCACAAAAGGACAAAUAUUGAAUGAUCCCACUUAGAUGAAAUAUCUAAAACAGGCAAAUGUCUAAAGGCUGAAGUUUAUUACUUGCUAUCAGGGGUGAGAGGCAUGGGAAAAGGGGCACUGAAUUUCUAUUAAUGGUGGCGGAAUUGGGAAAAGGGCAGUGAUAAGGCUGCACAACACGCUGAACUAAGAAAGCUAGGGAGGAAGAAAAUGUAAAUAAAAAUUAAAAACUGCGUAUGUUUACCUUGAACCUACAAUUCAACCCUAGACCACUGCUCAAGACAGAAAAACAAAAGUCUAGCAGUUUGGCAAAGUCCCUUAAUGUCACUGAAUCAUACAUGUAAAAAUGGACAAAUGUUUUGUCAGAUAUAUUUUUGCCACAAUUAAAAAAAAAAAUGCUUUGCCAUCAGAGGCUGGAAAUUCGGGACAUCCCUGGGCAUGGUAGGGGCAGGGAUUACAGCAGAGGUUCUUGGGGGUCUAUCUUUUCUCCUGCCUGGCCCCUGAGCUCUAACGCUGCUUCUGGGUCUGCCUCGGGCCUGAACACGGCCUCCUCGGUGCAGGGCCAUUCCCUACCGCUAAACUCAAGAAGGAGUGGUUCUCCUGUUCCCGAGCACAGGGAGCUUUCAGAGAUCCUCUGAGAACAGGUAAGCAGGACUCACCUGUUGACUGGGUGACGCAGGAGAUCUUGUAGGACAGCCAGAUGCUCAUCAGGCACAGGGAGGUGGCCAUGAAGCCGAAUAUCUGCACGGGAGAGACGGAAACCCACAGUCCAAGGGUCAGGCGCCAGGCAGUCCCAUUGCUCAUCUGUUUUCCCUCCUGUACUGACCGUGGAUGGCAGGGGCCCUGGGGAGUCACCUGAUCCAACCACCUCAUCCUUUAGGUGUAGAGAUGGAAGCCCAGAGAGGCCCAGUUGCCGACCCCAGGUCCGUAAGUGGGCUGGGUGGUCCAGGGGAGAGGCUGCGUACCCGGAUGGGGGUACAGGAAAAAAAAAAAGAUAACCCAAACUCAUUGCUGUGGAGUUGAUUCUGACUCAUACCGACCCUACAGGACAGAGUAUAGGAUUUCCAAGGCUAUAAAUCUUUAUGGAAGCAGAUUGCCACGUCUUUCUCCCUCGGAGCAGCUGGUGGGUUUGAACUGCUGACCUUUUGGUUAAAAGCUGAAUGCUUAACCGUUGUACCGCCACGGAUCCUUCUGAUAGGGGUAGUAUGGGAGAAUGUGAAUAUUGUCCAGGCACACCAGUGCACACCUGCUGCGCGUCUUGGGUCUGCAGAGAUAUCAUCCAGGCCCUGUAAGUUCUUUUCCAGAGUUUGUAAAUUUUUGUGUUUUCAGUUCUACAUAAUAUGUAGAUAUUGGUUCUAUUUAUAAACACUAAUAUAAGCAUACUCUGGAUCGUCUAUGUCUGGGGUCAGCAAACUACAGCUGGAGGGCCGAAUCACUGUUUUUGUAAAUAAAGUUUUAUUGGAACACAGCCACACCCAUUGGCUUAUGCUUUGUGUGUGACUCUGUUCUUGCUAUAAUGGGUCUACUGGAUGGCCAACAAAGCUUAAAAAUAUUUACUAUCCAGACCUUUAUAGAAAAUGUUUAUUGAUCCCUGUUCUAAGAGAUUUCUAUAUAACCAUGAAGUGCAAAGCAAUUUCAAUCCCAUGUUUGGGUUUAUGUUUACAACUGGUUGGCUCCAAGCUAUUGUACUUUAAUUAUCCUGGGUUCAUAAAGAAGAAAAAGACGGAACUGUAAAACUUAAUUUGUUUUUUAAAAAUUUUAACAUUACAGUGAAUUUUAUUGGGGUAGCACUGUUUGUGCUUCAUUUGUAAAUUUCAUUUGUAAAUCUGUUCUAGCCCGUAGCAUAGCCUGGUUAGAGCCAGAAGCAGAGGCCUUUAGGCCUCAGUUUACCUUUGCACGUAUUUAAAUAAUAUGAAAUGAAAAUAAGUCAAGGCAGAGCUCUUUUCCUUUUUCAGGCUCCAGCCCAGUGCUCAAGUGCGAGGAAAGCUGGCUGGGUCUAGUAAGACCUCUUCACUUUAUACGGGAGGAACAGGGCCCCCCGGGAGGAGGAGGGCCUUCCACAAGGAGAAGCAAGUGCAAACCUUGGUCUCUUUGGCACUCUGAAGCCUGGAGUCCUUUCCGUAUUUGUGAGCAACACUGGCAGCUGUAGCAGCUAAAAUUCAUUGAGCGUUACUAUGUGCCAGCCGGUGCGCCAAGCCCUUUAUGGUUGUUGUUAGUUGCUGCUGAGUUGAUUCCUGUUCAUGGCGGUCCCACGUAUGCAGUAGAACUGCUCCAUAGGGUCUUCAAGGCUGUGACCUUUUAGAAGCAAAUCACCAGGCUCGUCUUCCGAGGCACCUCUGAGUGGGUUUGAACCACCAAUCUCUCGGCUAGCAGUUGAGCAUGUUGUAUUUGCAUCACCCACGGACCCCUAAGCCUUUUACAGGUGUGUUGGUUCCUUUAACCCUCACAGCUCUGCCAGCUGGGUGCUAGUAUCACCCCACCCCCACCCCUGCCAUUUUACAGCUAAAGACAAGGGGGACAGGAAGUCAAUUAUUUUGCCUAAGGCCACAGAAAACACGGGCAAGGGGCAAGGAUGGGAUUUGAGCCCCAGGAGCCUGGCUCCUGCAUCCACGCUCGGCUGUACUCAUUGUCCAAGCGGUCUCAGACUUGGGUUCGCCACGCCGUCCCUCGUGUAAAGCCAGGCUCAGCAGCUAAAAGCAAACAGGAAUGGCCCAGGAGCAGCCAGACGAAGGGCAGGAUUCUCAACAAGGUCUGUUUUCUUCUUUUGGGCUUGGUUGCUGGUUUGUAUGAACAGCUGACCCCACCAGCUCACAUCCAGCUCUCCCUCCUUCCCUGAGUUCCCCUCCUUGGCUCCUUUUGUACCAAUUGUUCGCACCACAUAAUUUGCCUCUUGGAGCCUGUCCUGGCCUCUCAUGGUCUGCUUUGCACAAUUGGUACAUUAUAUACCAUCCUGGUCUCCACUGUCUGCCCUGCAUAACUGAACGGUUUAUUAUAUUGCUCUAUAAUGCCGUUCUAGACGACACCGCCUUGUUUGCAGAUCCUUUCAUAUGCCUUGGCCUCUCCUCCUAAACUAGACUACGACUUUCUCAUAAGCAAGGAUUCUAUCAAGUAUUUCUUCUGCCCCAUCCCCACCCCGCAGGUCCAAGGUUGGGUCCUAGGCACAAGGAUGAUGUCUGACUAAGGCUCGCUGGGGGGUGGAUUCCAGGGUUGGCACGGUAAGUACAGCCUGACUCAUAACACUCAGCGGGACUCUCCCCGUGGGGCCCCUGAAGCAGAGGGCAUGGGUUUCCUCAGCAUCUCUUCCACCACCUGCCCUGCGUGGGGCAGCGAGGAGCCUGCGGGUGGCGACCAACACUGACCUCAGAGGCAGCCCGGGGGAGGUGGGGGGCUUGGAGGCAGUUACGGAGCAUCAGCAUUUAGAGGCCUGGACGCGCCCUGCGCAGUGAAGCUCUGCCGCGUGCAGACCUUUGGAGGAUAGACUCCGGCCCUCAGCCAACCUACUUCUCCCACCUAGAGUCUGGAGAAUUUCGGGAACAUAUGUGAGCAAAAGACGGUGACGGCCGCUCAGAGCUCAGAGCUUUGCUCAAAACUCGAGGUAAAAAUCUUGCCUGUUCAUCCGUUAAACGAAUCAGUAUGGGCCCACAGCUACCACACUGGAGACAACCGGCUAAAUCAGAAAUGAAAUCGCAAAUCAGAUGACAGGGAUCUAUGAACCUUCUUAAAAAACACACACACACACACAUACAUAUAUAUACACACACAUCUAUGUAUAUAUAUGUACAUAUCCAUGUAACUGUGUAUAUGUGUGCAUAUAGUGUAAGGACACACACAUAUACACACGUACGUAUAUAUGUACAUAUCUAUAACUGUACGUAUAUGUGUGCAUAUAAUGUAAGUACACACACAAUACACACAUCUAUGUAUAUGUACAUAUCUACGUAACUAUGUAUGUAUAUGUGUGCAUAUAAACACACACACAUAUAUAUGCAUACAUCUAUGUAUAUAUGUACAUAUCCAUGUAACUGUGUAUGUGUUUAUGUGCAAAUAAUGUAAGUACACACACACACACACACACACCUCCCACAGCCCUGUAUUCAUUCAUCAGAUGGAUCAGUUUUUACCUCUGAAAAGUACAGGAAUGAUGCCUUUGCUGGCCUGAGUACUAUUAAAAGCCAGGAAUGGCAAUUCUAGGAUUCGCCUAACUGAUCAUAGAACCCUUCCCCUGGGCCUAACGGAGACCUCUGAAUCUUCCCCUGCAUUGUGCUGAGGCAGCCACGAACGAUCAGAGCGGGCAUGUGAAUUAGAACCUAUUCGCCAGCUGAUUUAAAUGGUGGCUGUAGGAGAGAGAGCCUGGGAUUUGCAGAUGAGAUCCUCCAUCGUGGGCCCAGGUUUAAGGCUCUUGGGAGAUGGUAGCAUCAAGGUGGGUGCUGAUUUUGCAGAAAAGGGCCCCCAAAACCAGCCCCUCUUCUGCCCCCAUCAGGAAGAAGACAAGCACUUGAAACAUGAAUUCAUUCCUAAAAGCUCCCCCGAGAGACCAUCCUCACCGCUCCGGCCACCAGUCCGCUCACGCCGUAGCUCUUGGAGGCUGCCACGAUGGAGGCGAUUAAGAGAAGCAGGGUGCCGAUUAAAUAAUGCAGGAGCUCCUGGGGGCAAAAAUAGAGCAGAGCCGUGGGUAGGGAGGUCCACUCCUGGUUCUUAGACAGCAACCGGACAUCAGAGAAGAUGCAAAGACGGGGAGACAGUGAUACUUCCUCUUGCUCCUUGCAACAUGCCCACAGGAGGCCCACCGCAGCUUGCAGGCAGCAAACGCAGAAGGAAGAGGCCCAGGCGAAAGAGAGGAAAGAUGGCGGGCAAGCAGGAAGGGAAGGGGACAAAGAGAAAGAAAGCGUCUCAUGUGAGUAGAGACAGCCACUCAAGGACAGCUUCAUUCGUGAGAUCAAUUUGUAGGCAGUAUCUUUGACCUCUGACCAAAGCAAAUAAGCCUCUCUCAACUCCCCAGCUGGAGAGGUUCAAUGAAGCUCCAGCUCCCAGAAGCAAAGCCCCAUAGAGAUGUAUCUUCUUCUGCUUCAGAGAAAGUUCCAGGCUGACAAUGUGCUGGCUUUGCGUGGCUGAUCAGAGUGUCUGCCCAUUCUGUGAACAGCCCCAAGUGAGGAACAAGAGGUGCUUGGACCCCCCAGACUCAGAGUCAGAGCCUAGAAAGAGGUCAGCUCUGAAACGUUCUGUGGGUGUGUGGUGGGAGCUGGCUUUCUCACUCCUAAGUCCUCCUGGUUUUGUCCUCAUUCUGUCAUUCCCCCUUCUCUUCUCUUCAGAAGUGUGUAUCAGGCCAAGCCCUGCCACCUGUAAGUCUACUGGCAGGGUCAACGCUGCCUUUGCUUCUCACCAUGGACCACUGGGCCACCCAUUUCCACCUCAUUCACCCCUCAUGAUUAAAAGGCCAUUUUUGCAGGCCCAGGACAGACGGAUGAAGGUCUGUUAUUCAGCAGCACAGGAAUGCUUCCAUUUCACCCUUCCCCUUUCUAUUAAACAAAUCAGAAGGGAAUCAGGAAUUACAGCCAUCCCUUUUCAGUUGUCUUUAAUGAGAAUUUAGAAAUGAUUCCAUUGUGAUGUUCUGCCCAACAGGCAGGCAGCUAUUAAACUUUGGAGAAGCAUCCCACUGUUACACUGCUAAUCCCCUCCAGGCUGUGUGAAAUCAAAGAACCUGGUUUCUCCAUUAGUGACUAGAAAGGAGUAUAAUGAGGUGAAUCACAGAGAUUUUGGCUAAAAAGCAGGUUAGUACCUGGAAGUUCUCCACCUCCAAGGCCACCCAUGAAGAAAGAAGAGGAUGGCAUGGGAUAGGGAAAACCAACUUGAAAGAGUCUUAACAUGAAGCCAUUUAGAGAGUACUCAGCCAAAAAUGUGUGGUUGAGCAAAAAAAAAAAAAAAAAACUCUUAAAAUAAUAUAGUGGAUAAUAACAUUAAAUGUAAAUGGAUUAAACAAUCCAGUCAAAAAAGCAGAGGUAGUCAGACUGAACCAAAAAUAAAAAAGAUUCAACAUAUAGUAGAAUAUGUGAUAUAAAGGAGACACACUUUAGAUUCAAAGAAAACAAAUUGAAAGUGAAAGGACAGAAAAAGAUAUAUCAUGCAAAGGAAGCUGGAGUAGCUAUACAAAUACAAACAAAAUAGGCUUAAUAACAAAAAUGUUAGUAGUGCUAAAGAGGGACAUUUUAUAAUGAUAAAAGAGUGACUCCAUCAUGAAGAUAUAACAAUUAUAAACAUAUAUGCACCUAAUAACUGAGCAUCAAAAUACAUGAAGCAAAAACUGACAGAAAUAGGUAGUUCAAUAAUAAUAGUUGGAGCACCAAUGUCUCAUUUUCAAUAAUGAAUAGAAAAACCAAGCAGAAAAUCAACAAGUAAACAGAAGACUUGAACAACAGUAUAAACUAACUAGACCUAGCAGACAUCUCUAGAACACUCUACCCAACAAUAGCAGAGUACACAAUUUUUUCAAGUGCAUAGGAAACAUUCUUAAGAUAGACCAUAUGCUAGGAUAUAAAACAAACCUCAAUAAAUUUAAAAAGAUUGAAAUAAUACAAUGUAUGCUCUCCAACCACACUGGAAUGAAAAUAGAAAUCAAUAACAAAAACAAUUUGGAAAAGUCACAAGUUAGUGAAAAUUAAACAACACACCCCUAAAUAACCAAUGGGUUAAAGAAAAGACAUCAGGGAAAUUUUAUAGUGGUAAAUGCCUAUAUUAAAGAAGAAGAGAAAUCUCAAUUUAACAAUCUAAAUUUCUACCUUAAGACACUAGAAAAAGGAGCGCAAACUAAACCAAAAUCAAGCAGAAGAAAGGAAAUAAAGAUUGGAGUGAAAAUUAAUGAAAUAGAGAACAGAAUAACAAUAGAGAAAAAUCAAUGUAACUAAACGCUGAUUCUUUGAGAAAGAUCAACAAAAUUGAGAAACCUUUAGUUAGAAUGACCAAGAAAGAAAGAGACAAGACUCAAAUUACUAUAAUAAAAAAUGAAAGAGGGGACAUGACUACUGACCUUACAGAAAUAAAAAGGAUUUAAAAGGAAUACUAUGAAAAACUGUAUGCCAGUAAAUUAGAUAACUUAGAUGAAAUGAACAAAUCCUAGAAAUACACAAACUAAAAAAAAAACAAAAUUUAUUUUUUUUAGAUGAAAUGAACAAAUCCUAGAAAUACAAACUAAAAAAAAAAACAAAAUUUAUUUUUUUUAGAUGAAAUGAACAAAUCCUAGAAAUACACAAACUACUGAAAACUGACUCAAGAAGAAAUAGACAAUCUGAAUAGACCUACGAGUGAAGAGAUAAAAUUAAACAAAAAACUACCCAAAAAGAAAAGCUCAGGCCCAGAUGGCUUCACUGUUGAAUUCCACCAAACAUUUAAAGAAUUAAUACCAAUUCUUCAUGCAUCCUUCCAAAAAUAGGAGAUGAACACUUCCCAACUCAGGCUAUGAAGCCAGUAUUACCAAAACCAGACAAAGAUACAGCAAGACAAGAAAACUUCAGGCCAACGUCUCUUAGAAUAUGCAUGCAAAAAUCCUCAGCAAAACACUAGCAAACUGAAUCUAGCAACAUAUAAAAAGAAUUAUACACUAUAACCAAUUGGAAUUUAUCCCUGAGAUGAAAGAUUGUUUUAACAUCUCAAAAUCAUUCUAACACACCAUGUCAAUAGACUAAAAACAAACAAAAAAAAAAAACACCACAGAUCAUCUCAAUAGAUGCAGAAAGAGUUUUACAAAAAUCCAGCACUCUUUCAUAAAAUCAAAACAAACGAAACACACUCAAACUAGGAAUAGAAGGGAAUUUCCUCAACCUGAUAAAGGGCAUUUAUGAAAAACCCACAGCUAACAUCAUACUUAAUGGUGAUGAACUCGAUGCUUUCCCUUUAAGACCAGGAACAAAAUAGGAUGUCCACUCUCACCACUUCUACUCAACAUUGUACUGGAGGUUUUAGACAAGACAAUUAGGCAAGCAAAGAAAUAAAAGGUAUCCUGAAUGGAAAAGAAGAAGUAAAAUCAUCUCUAUUUGCAGAUGAUAUGAUCUUAUAUAUAGAAAAUUCUAAGGAAUCCACUAAAAAACUAUUAGGACUAAUAAACACGUUUAGCAAGGCUUGUAGGAUACAAAAUCAAUAUACAAAAACCAGUUGUAUUUCUAUACACUAACAAUGAACAAUCCAAAAAUGAAAUUAAGAAAACAAUUCCAUUUGAAAUAGCAUCAAAAAAAAAAAAAAUAAAA